UCAAGUCAUAGAAUGAAAUAUCUUUCAAUUCAUUGUGUAUGUUACCUUGCUGGAGUCCAGGUCGGUGGGGUGCUUCAUGACCUUGGGGUCGUAGCCAUUGUGCCUCUCUUUGAUAAUCGGGUCCAGCAGUUCUGCAAAUACCUGAAAAACCCCCCGAGGUCCAGUGAUGUCUGACCUCGUAAGUCUCCUCGUCUCCUGCCACCAUGCCGACGGUCUUGAUGAAGGGAUGGCCGGGGUUGUCCACGCCUGUCUGGAUGGCCUGGUCCAGUGUGUAGCCAUUGGGAGUGGCCUUAUUAGACAGCUUGGUGUAGAUUGCAGGCGUAAGGUUACUGGCCAUGCAGUUGUUGUGUUUGCGCAGGUCAGGGUACUCCGCACUGUUCAAACACAAAUGCAAGAUAACAUAAUGUUGCACUGAUCUUUUAGAGAGUUUGAGAAUAAGGUUAAUGAUGGAGCUGGUUCAGAGUGUGUGAGUCACUCAACGACACUCCCACAUGUCAUGUACACAGGAAACUGGGAAUUAAACCUGUGACUGUCUGAUUAUGGGACACUGCUACAAAAAGAUGACCUCUAAAAAAUUAUAUUGGACACACAGGGACACAAGGCUGGUGUGAUCACUCAUAUGGGCAUUGUGAGAAAGCAUAGAGGGAUAUAUAUAUGAAACUAGUAGUUUAAAUCCUCAUGAGAUGUUGAAAGUGGCAUCUGUUUAGUGCUGGUGGAUAAAAAAGCAUUCAGAGUCUGACUUGACAAAGUCACUUAUCUCUUCAAACAAACUAUUUAGGCCUCAGCAUAGGUUGAUGUGGAAAAACCAAAAGGAACCACUGUCAAAGACUGGGUUUAAUCCCAAAAAACACACUUAGAUCUUUAAAAAACUAAAAGUUCAGAAACAGCACAGACUAAGCAGCUUAUGGAUUUCUUCCUCCUGCUGCCUGCCAAGAUAUGAGGAGGGCUAAGACAUUUCAAAAUUAAAUAAUAUAGUAACUGUGACUCAGCAGAGCUGUACUGGUGAUACUAAGGGUAGACAGUCUAAAAAUAUUUGCGGCCUCUUGCCUUAUUUCUAUUUUCUCUUGUCUCCACAAUAAUAAAUUCAGAAGUGUUACCUUCAAUGAGCCGUCAAUUUAUGCCUGUAUCAGAAAGCACAAGUAGAAAGAGGCCAAGAAAACCCAUUACAAUGUUUUCUGAGCCAGGAAAACCCAGGUGGCCACAUUCGCAUGUGUGGCAGGGUUCAGUAAUGACACAAGAUGCUCAUGGCACAUAUUGUCCUGUAGGAACGAUGGAUGGAUGCAUCAGAGGUUUUGGGAACUGAUAUUUAUGAGUUGGGUGCAGAGCCAAAUCAAAAUCUGGAUCUAGUGAAUUUAGGUCUAGUUUCAUUAGGGAACAAUUCAGCCUUGGUGGAGGUAUGUGCUGUAAUGAGUGCAAUUCUAGUUUGAAUCGAUAUUGCUGUUAGUGGUAGGUCUUAAAAGGAUAUAUCAUUAUAUAACAUUUAAGGGCUAAACAGUGUUGCAGCCUAUUCCAAUCCAAUUUAAGUAAAUGAUGACUGAUCCUUCAGAUGUAAGAAAACAACUGAAAAAAAAGAUCAUGACGCCAUACGGACACUUGGUGUGGUGUCCUCCAAGUGUCCGUAAAUCCAAGUGUCCGUAAAUCUAAUUUGACUUGAAACAAGGUCAUACACACCAUGUCUUUAUUCUAAAGGUCCUCUGUGAUCCAUGCGCGACCACGGCUCGAAAAUUCGGGCUAAAAACUUGAAUUUGCGAAUUUUCAUUUUUCUGUGAACUGUCCCUUUAAUCACUCAGAAAGUUAACGAAUUAUACUUAUUAAAGUUAAGAGUUACA